rnacentral:rRNA from 1 species
UACAGAGGUCUCAAGCGUUGUUCGGAUUCAUUGGGCGUAAAGGGCGCGUAGGCUGCGGGGCAAGUCGGGUGUGAAAUCUCAGAGCUCAACUCUGAAACUGCACUCGAUACUGCUUUGCUUGAGGACUGGAGAGGAGAUUGGAAUUCACGGUGUAGCAGUGAAAUGCGUAGAUAUCGUGAGGAAGACCAGUGGCGAAGGCGGAUCUCUGGACAGUUCCUGACGCUGAGGCGCGAAGGCCAGGGGAGCAAAUGGG